rnacentral:rRNA from 1 species
CCUACGGGUGGCAGCAGUGGGGAAUAUUGGGCAAUGGGCGCAAGCCUGACCCAGCAACGCCGCGUGAAGGAAGAAGGCUUUCGGGUUGUAAACUUCUUUUCUGAGGGACGAAGAAAGUGACGGUACCUCCGGAAUAGCCCACGGCUAACUACGUGCCGGAGUCCGGGUUAUUAGGUGGGUGGCAAGGGUAAUCCGGAUUUUUUGGGUGUAAGGGGAGGGUAGGCGGGAAGGCAGGUCAGAUGUGAAAACUCAGUGCUCAACCCUGAGCCUGCAUUUGAAACUGUUUUUCUUGAGUGCUGGAGAGGCAAUCGGAAUUCCGUGUGUAGCGGUGAAAUGCGUAGAUAUACGGAGGAACACCAGUGGCGAAGGCGGAUUGCUGGACAGUAACUGACGCUGAGGCGCGAAAGCGUGGGGAGCAAACAGGAUUAGAUACCCUUGUAGUC